UACGUAGGGGGCUAGCGUUGUCCGGAUUUACUGGGCGUAAAGGGCGCGUAGGCGGCCAGCACAAGUCAGUUGUGAAAUCUCCGAGCUUAACUCGGAACGGUCAACUGAUACUGUGCGGCUAGAGUGCGGAAGGGGCAACUGGAAUUCUUGGUGUAGCGGUGAAAUGCGUAGAUAUCAAGAGGAACACCUGCGGCGAAGGCGGGUUGCUGGGCCGACACUGACGCUGAGGCGCGAAAGCCAGGGGAGCGAACGGG
rnacentral:rRNA from 1 species